ACAAUUUUGAUAAAGCAAACCCAAUUUUUGAUACCCAAUGAAAUUUUCUCUUGAUUUUUUGAUCGUUGGAGAUAAAAUAGAUUCUACCUAUGAGAGAAGAAAUAAAAAAAUGACGACUGGAAUAGUGAAAUAACGGUCAAAAAUUGAUUUUAAUUGAUUUUUAAUCUAUAACAAACAAUCAUGAAAAAUAAUUGCUCCCCAAACAGGGGCUAAAGGUGCAAAACUAAUGAUCGAUUCAUUCAGCAAAAACAGCUGAAUAUAUAUGUAGAAAAUGUAAAUCAACUCAUUUCAUGCCAUUAAACCAUCUAAAUACUGUGUAUAGAGAUUAGAUCGGAAGGGGAUUUUUCAACUUUUCCUUUUUGACCAUUCGUGGCUUACCAUUUCUCUCCUUUAUACUGCCAUAUUGUUUCUUCUUCAUCCUUCUCCCAGUCAAGAAACGUAAGCCUACCAGCAAGACCACUAAGGAAACAACGACAAUUGGAACAACUAUAGCAAUAAUAACUUGUCUUGAGAUUCCCCUUUUUCCUGUAUUAAGAAUAAAAGGUAAAUCGGGAUUCAAAACUUGCUUCUAUCUAUAGUUGUUCGAGUAUCUUACAGAUUAGCACAAGUUUUCUAGCCUAUGUUGAACUUAAAAUUCUGAAAAAUUGAUGGAGAUAUACAGACAUAUGUAGUGGUUAGGAAGUGUUUAAUUAUGCAGGACAAUUGACGGAAAAGAGAUGUUUUGGAUUAGGACGUUACCUUGUUUGUUAUUAGGCGCAGGUGCAGGUGCAGGGACGGUUGUGGCGUUGUAGAAGUGGUAAAUCUCAUACCUAAUAUUGCAGCUAGAGGAAAUGACCCUUGCUCCUUGCGUAUAUUCACAACAUUUUGGUAAGAUGGAGGUGGCAUUUGAAAGGCAGAAGUGACAAUCUUCACUAGAGAGAUCAGGUCUGCACUGUGCUAGUGUGUACAACUUCACAGAUGCCAUUAAGUCAGCAUCUUUGGUAGCAAAUUUCUUGCCAGAGAAUUUAUUAGCAGCCUGAACUACUGCCUUAUUCAUCGUAUCUACUAAUACAUAGAUGAAAUUAUAUGGAUCACCACUGAAAUUCUGAGUAUUACGCAUGAUUAACUUAGAUGAAAAAUCAACCCUGGAGAAUAUUGAUAGAUUUGAGUACCAUAACAUGCAUUCCUCAUAUCAAAUUGUUGCCUCUUUUUGGUUGGGACAACAUUGUAAGAUUAUAGUUGUAGCAUUUUCCAUACAUUUCUCACAGACAUCGAUGUUAACAUCACCUCUACAUAGAAAGAAACCAUAGAUUGUGUCCGAAGGGCUGUGGUCAACAGUGUAGUUAUAGUAUCCAUUCUCGUGGGUAGCAUUUGAGGAUAAAUUAAGGAAAAGUUGAUUUAAGUUGGACUGAUAGGUGCUAUUAGGACUGUACGUAGUUGUAUUUGGGCAGAAAUAAUAAAUAAGAUUCACGGAGCUAACGCUUCUCGUGCUAAAGAAAAAGAGGAAGCAAAACAACAAGAAAUAUGUAGAGAUGCUCAAGACCGACAUGAUCUGCUACUGCUAUAUUUUGAUCUCAAAAGCCUUUUUUUUAUCCAAAACAUUCCUCACUUUGUCCGGCUGUAUAUUAUGAUUAAUAGUGAAACGAGAUAGUAAACUUUAUGAAUGAGUAAAUUUCUUAGAAAUUACCAAGAGAUGGAAUAGAAAAUAUCUUUGAUGAAGACAGGACUGGCUGCUAAUUUAGACUUUUAAAACUCUUGACAUUCGACAGCCUCCUUCCACCUUGAAAAUUCUAUAUUUUUAUGACGUCCACUCAAUUGCUUCUCUUCACGGAUUUUGAAAUUUAACCCAACUAAUAAUAAAAUAGGAUAAACCAUAAAUAUCUCAUGGUAUGUUUGGUAAGGUUAAUUGAACAAUAUUAAUUAAAUGACAUUAAAGAAGAAAAAUAAGUUGAAUUCUUUUUCAAUAUGAUGUUUAAUCAAGUUUAGUACUACACACAAAACAUGCACGAUGAUUAGAAUCAUAUUUUUUGUGCUUCAAAAGGUGGACUAAAUUUUAAGGUAGCAUUCGUGCUUGGUAUAUGUAAUAAAUUGACUAAGGAUCACUAUAUCCCGGAGACUAAAAUGUUAUACACACUGUGUUACCAAUGUGAAUAAUUUGACUCAACCAAAUUAUACAUGUUUGGUGAGGACAAGAGACCGCUGCGACAAUAUCUUGGAUGAGGACAACACUGGCUGCUGAUUUCAUAAAGUUUUAAAUUUUUAGAACUUAGAGGCAGUCAAUUCAAUCUAACUUUAAAAACUAAUAAUUAAAUAGGACCAAUUCUGCAAUUAAACAUGGUAUUAUUACUUGUUACAUGGUUCAUGCCAAAUUUUAGUGUUGAUUUGAACCAUGAGGACCGCAUACUCGAUUUACCCGGCCUAAGGUAUCAAUGGAUUGAGUUGGCUUUGUUUUGGCCCUUCAUAUACAUAUUCACUAUGUUGUUAUUGUGUGAGUUAGAGACCAGAAACACAUAAAUAGAAGAUGAUUUAUGCCAUUAUUGAACUUUUUAAGUCAUUCUUGGUCUUUUAUCAACAUUUUCUUGAACAUGAAUAAGUCAACUUGGAUUCAUCCAACGCAUAAGACUCUUGCAAAUUUGGAUCCAUCAAUUCCAAGGGUGUACUACUUCUUCAAAGUCUCCAAGCCAGUUCAGGCAAAAGUAGGUUACGAUGUUAAAUUUUUUAAUAAAUAACUUUAAAUAUUUUAUUUAUUACCAAUAGUAUUUUAUAAUAUGCCCAUUUGAGUAUCCUAAAUUUAAAAGUAGAAUUAAAACUUUGCACUCACGUAGCUUAUCAGGCCCGAGCUAUACCAUCUGAUUUGUAGAAGCUAUUGUUAUUCUUGUCGCUUAUGAUUUCCAAAACCAUGACGGAAAAACAAAAAAAACAUCAAAUUUUAAUGGGAAGUGGCCACGUGUUGCAUACUUGGGAGCCAUGUAACCACUACAAUCAAUCACAUUCCACAUCAUAUAAAUGUCACGAUGAAUGAAGAUAAACACAAUAAAUAAGAAGUAGAAAGUACCAUGUCCCGAAAAUCCUCUUCCUAUUUCCUUGAGAUUGAUUACCACCAAAAAAUUUUCCUAUGCCAAAAUCCGAUAUUUUUGGGUUCAUAUCUCCACCUAAUAUUAUAUUGUUAGCUUCGAGAUCAUGGUGUAUAAUUCAUAGACGAGAGUCUAUGAAGGUAAAAUCAUUCCACGUGCUAUUCCUCCUAUGAUCUUGUAACUUAUGGACCAAUCCAACAGUUGCCAUUUUUUUGGAUCUUUACAUUCAUUAAGAUUAAGAGAAUGAAUCAUAUCAAUUAGCAUUGACUGUUACGACUCGGUUUUCAAAGGCCAAGUCUCAGAAAUGAAAAGAUAGAAGGCCAUUGAUUAAAAAUAUGUGUUUCGCGCGGGUUAGUCACUAACAAUUAAAAAGGGAUUAGACGAUUGUGUAAGGGACAAAUCUCUUGAAACAAAGUCCCAAAAAUGGGCGUUUUUAUUGGCGAUGACUUUACAAUUGGAAAAAUAAAACAGAAUGCCUCCAAGAGGCGCAAACACACGAGUUACUGAAAAGAAGUGUUUUAAAUCUAAACUAAGAAAUUGAAAGUUACAUAUUCUCUGUUUGAAAGUGUUUGAUUCGGGAUCCUUUGCUUUAUGUUUUUUCUUCCUUUUACACUCCCUGGAUGAUCUUUUCAUGAUCAACCGCUUAAAAACUACUUGAUCGCUCUAUAACUGCCCACGUUCUUCAUAGUGCCAACUUGUCAUGGAACUGCCUUUUCUAACUGCUGCCAUUACUUUUUGUCGUUCAACCGUCUUCAAUUGAAUUCCUUGAAUCGUGGAACGUGAUAGGGCUACUCAAUAACUGCUUCAUUAACCGCACUUUUGUGUAACCAUAACAUCUUAUGUUUGCUAAGAUCCUGGGCGACUCGAAGGUUUGGGCGAGAACAGGGUCACAGCUCUAGACGACUGCAUGACAAUCCAUUCGCUCAAAUCUCGGGCGACUUGCAAGCUUGGACGAUGGUAUUACCGCGCUCAUGGGAUUCCCUAUUUGGGCCUUUAUCCUGAAUAUCCUGACUGGGCCAUUCUUUGGGCUAUCUGAUUUGGGGAUCCUUCAAUUGGGCUUCAUUUCUUGGGCUACUCGAUUUGAGCUGAACUUUUUGUGUGUCAACAAUUACCCCCCAAUAUGGCGGAAUUAAUACCAAUUAUUAAUUUUUGCCAUAUUCACUUUGUGUUUCCCAAGAACAUUCGAAAUUCUCAAGAAUUUCAAUCAUUGUUUUCUUUCAUAGCCUGAAAAGGUGCGAUGUUUGCAAACCCUUAUAACCCCCAAAUACACGCCAUUUCAUCGCACCACUAAAUCAUGCCUCAUUGUUUCAUGCUUCUCUCUCGCAAUAUUACUGUCAUCUUCUUGCUUCUCUGCUACAUAACUUCGACAAACUCUAUUUCGCUCCUAAUGGCUACUUCACAAUCCCAAUCUGGUGACUCCUUCAGUUUCGAAAACUUCCAGAAACUCUUCACUCGGCCAUAUAUAACUCCGAACUUCCUUGUACCAGCCAAUGUCGAACUUAAUGAGUUCUAUCUAGGUCCUUCAUUUAACAACGCCGAAGCCAUCGAAUAAGCGGCGGUCGAUCAGUUGUUCCCUUGUACUCAGGGCCCUCCGUUUCUAAACUCUUUGCCGCUGAGGCCGCUUCGCGAAAGAAAUAUUCGCACUUGGCCUAAAUUUGAUGUCGUUUUCCGUAGAUGGCAUACUCGCCUUGUGGACCAUGGUCCUACUAAGGCAAUUUUUGAUAGUGCUAGGAUUUCUGAUUUGUUAGAAAUCUCUCUUCAACCCCUUAUUUUUGACCCAGCACUUUUUCCAAACGUUUUAAGUUUUUGGUCUUCUGAGUAUAAUACUUUUGUUUUUCCUCUUGGUCCCAUGUCCAUUACCUUAAGGGGUGUUGGGGCCCUAGUAAAUCUACCACCUUUGGGUGAUACCAUUUUCCCUGGUAUUUUGAUUUCUGAUGUCACCCCAAAAUUUGAUAAAAAACUCACCGAGUCUUAUUCAAGCCUGCAAACCUAUCAUAACCACUCGAGCGCUGAGCCUUCCCAUGCUGAGCGUGUGGCCUUUCUUCAGGUUUGGCUUUGUAAAUACAUUUUGUGUGUGCCAAGCAUGAAGCCCUCCAUGAGCUAUUUACCCAUAGCGCACGAAUUGGCGCGUGGUAGGUCUCUAAAUUUGUGUUCUUUCUUUUUAACUACCCUCUAUAGAGGCAUGGCUUCUCUUCAAUCCCAAUUGAAGAAUGGUGCAUCUCCCACUGGCAGUGGGCCUCUUUGGUUUACUCAAAUGUGGUUGAGAGCUUAUUUUCCAUCGCUUGGUGCUCCAUCCUUUUCCAGUCCUUCUGCUAGCUACUAUAGGCUAGCCAUUGAUCCCCUGACUCCUGUAAAUAUGUCUAGAAGGGACAUUUUUUCAUUCUUUUAUACUUUGGAUUCAAUCCCUUCCUUCUUUCCUUUUCCUCCCUUUUUAACUUCGGAUUAUGUGCAACCUCCAUCUACUAUGGAUAGUGCGAGCACCUCUCUGUUCAUUUGGAUUCAAUUUUUGACUGGGAGGGAGUUGUUCCAUGAUAUUUUGACUGGAACCAAUGCCAAAGCUGGGGUUGAAAUAUACGCUCCCCAAUUUUUUGCUCGCCAACUUGACUUUUGGCCAAACUUGGCCCGUUCCCCUUGCUAUUCAAGAAAUUUAAUAGACCACUUCCACACCAUUAAUAAAGCAGAGGCAGAAGCUAUAGAUGCUCGCAAUAUUCUUUUGACGAGCAACUUUUCAUUAGCCCCUUUCAAUCCUAACCGUGCCAGAUUGUUUGCGACUGAUGCCAAUCGUGCUUUCCAUUCACUGGACCAGCCAAACAUUUCUUCCACCUCUCCUGUUUUAGUCACUCCUGUGUCCAUUAGGAGUCCCUCUUCUCCUGCUCGUGCUAAACAGUCUGCUCGUCCAUCGACUUCUCUUCCUGCCAAGCCCACUGUAGCUAAAAUUGCCCCAAGCCGCAAACGGUUAGCCUCAGCAUCUCCUAUUUUGGAGGAUGAUGCUGAUGAUGAUGAUGACACCCCUCUCAUCGUCAGGAGGAAGGUAAUUAAAUUGGUUUACUCACAAGCAUACCUUUCCAUACUUGAAACUUUUCUAUGUGCUGAUGGUUUAUUUGGAUUUCUCAGAAAAGUUCAGUCUCUCAUUUGAAGGCUUUGGUGUUGGCAGCUCCUGUUCCAUCAUCCUCUGCUGAGGCUGCUUCAUCCAAACCAGCUGAUGAAGGGACUACGCUUAAAGAGAAAUCUUCAGUCCCAGAAUCUUCAUCACAACCAAUGGAUGAGCCACCUUCUUCCCAGGGCGUUGACCCCCCAAACGUCGAAGCAGAAGGUAAUUCAUUUUUUUAUGCUUCACCUUUGCUGGUGCUAUUGGUUUUUGAUUUGUCGUUUUUUGAGUUCUGCAGAUGCUCUCAUGAGUCUGGCCGUUGCGGCAAGUUCUUCUCACUUAGACAAGGGGAAGUCCUCACGAAUGGUGGAGCCACAGGUGGUAAAUUUGGCUGGGGAUAUGCCACCUUCCAAGAUUGCUGAUGAGGUAAUCUUUACUUCACCUUUAUUUUCACUUUGUUUAGUGUAGUGAAAACCUUCAAUGUUGGUAACUUUCUUUGUAGGAUGCUGAUAAAAUUGUGCGUUCCAUCCAAGACUUGUUCACUUCCUGGGGGACAAGUCAAGACAUCUCACCCUGCUUCAGCCAGUCGUCCUUCUGCUUCUUCAGAGGAAGCUAUGAAGUUCCUCAAGCAGUCGAUAUUUGAGUAUGUGUCCUUCAUGGAUAUGGAUAUCGGUAAGGCUAGUGCUACCAAGCAUAAGGAUAAGCUUGAGCAUUUGAAUGAGAAAUUGGAGCAAGCACUGACACUUCCGUCGCUCAAUCUUUCUGCUGAUUUUAAAGCAACGUUGAAGGUUGUCCAUUCUGAGGUCCUCUCCUUGCUGGCCAAAAAUGUUGAACUGAAGGCCAAAAGUACUCAAUAUCUUCGCGCUGUAUCUGAAAGAGAAUCUUUGCUACUGGAGAUUAACAAAGCUGAGGACGAAUUGAAAGAAAUCUCUUCUGAAGUCAUGAUUGAAGACUCUUUGAUGACCAGUUUGGUUACAUAGAUGAAGGAGCUUCAAGCAAAGAUGGACGACUGCAAGACGAGAAUGGCUGCCAAAAAAAGCAAUGCCUCCCAAGGAAUUGAGCAAACCAAGUCUUUGGUCGAGCAGUACAAGAAGCUGAAAGUUGAUGAUGAUAUUGUGGCUGAAUUGAAUAUCACUUCUUCUCAGCAGAGCGAGGACUGGGGGAGACUUAGGGAAAGAAUUCGUUUGGUAUGUGACGAAUUGUAAUUAAGACAUAUAAUGCCUUAACUUUUUCUUUUUGUAAUUUCGUAUUGACUUUCCCUUUGUAACUUUGUACUCAUAUCCAUUGCUAAUUUUGAUCAUAACGGCAGCCAUCAUUGUUAAUGAAUAACUAUUUUAGCUUCUUGUGUAUUUAUUGACAUUUGUCUUUUAAUCGUCAAUCGCCCAAGCAUUUAACUGCUUUAUGCUAAAAUUAUUUGCACAUCUUCUCUUGAUAUUUCUACCUCUUUUCCGAAGACUUUGGGCCACUUGAUUCCAUUUGCUAGGCACGAAUGUGGCUAUUCAUAUUCUGUCUUUUCACCUUCACCCUCCUAUAAAUGCACGUACACUUCACACUUUCCAUCUUCAUUUCUAUUUUCUUCUUCAAAAAACCAAUUUGCUGCCAUUGUUUGGCAUUUUAACAAUCAAUCCAAAACCUUCGUUUUCCAUGGAAAUUGAUCAUCUGAUCCGCCCAUUUUGCCAUCCUUCUUGAUGUCACCUUUGUAUGGGAGAUAUAUGAAAUAUUCUUUGGCCAGCAGCAAAGUUUUUCCCACCGUCUCCGUUCCUACAAGGAGUUCAAUGAUGGAAGACAAUUUUUGGGGUGCUUGCAGGCCACCUUGCUUGCUGAGAGUGCUUCUCAGCCUCCUUACCCGUUAUUACAGCGAUGCAUUUAGGAAGGCGAUGCGAGGGUGCUUCUCUUCUUUUCAGCUUGCUAGGGGUGCUUCUCGGCCUCUCUGCUUGCCUUUGCAGCAGUGCGCUCAGGAUGGCAAUUAAGGCCAGUUCACCCUCUUACUCGGCGAUCGAUCGGGAGAGUAGUUUACUCUUAAUUGUAACUUGUAGAGCAUUUAUUAUUUUGUAUUUUGCAACUUUGUAAUGAACGUUUGAUAAUAAAGGAAUUUAUUUUGAACGUAUUUCGCUCUGGCCCUUUUCACUCUACGAUCGUUCAAUGCGAUUUGAUUACAUUUUUAUUUGUUCACUUUCCAUAAGGAAGGAACAUAUUUUUUUAAAUAUUUGCCAUUAAUGAACCUCAUGUGUUUGGUGCCAUCUAAAUCUUCCAAAUGAUAGGCUCCAUUAGGCAACACAUUAUUUACUUUAUAUGAUCCUUCCCAAUUGGGCGACCAUUUGCCAUACUUUGGAUCUUUUCUAUCCAAAGGGAGUACUGUUUUCCAAACCAAUUCGCUCAGGCUGAACGACUUGGCUAUAACUUUUUUAUUAUAAAAUUUAGUCAUUCUUCGUUUUUGAACUUGCAAUCUAUCUAGGACGUCUAACUUUAAUUCAUCCAACUCUAAUAAGUUUUAAACUAGUGAUUCGGUAUACUCAUCACCACUUAACUUAUAUUGCAAACACGCUCUGAUCGAUUGCACGUUGAUUUCCAUAGGCAAAACGGCCUCUUGUCCAUAUGUAAGUUGGAAAUGAGUAAUUUUUGUACUUGAUCGAGGCGACGUCCUAAAAGCCCAUAAGGCUUUGUUUAGACAUUCGUGGCAAUUUCUGACGUUUUCAUCUAUCAUUUUCCUUAUGAUAUUUUUUAGAAUCUUAUUAGAAAAUUCUACUUGUCCGUUGGAUUGAGCGUAGUAUGGUGUGGAGUUCACUAAUUUAACCCCAAACUCGCUCAAGAAUUUAUUCACUUGAUCCCCAUUCAAAGAUGUUCCGUGAUCUACCAUCAAAGUUUGUGGAAUUCCAAAUCUAUAAAUGAUGUGAUCACGGAUAAAUUCUAUGACAUUCUUUUGGGUGAUCUCCUUUAAAGGUACCGCAUCUACCCACUUAGUGAAAUAAUCAGUUGCAACUAUAACAAAAGUAUGUUGUUUGGACGAUGGGGGAUUAAUCUUCCCUAUCAGGUCUAUCGCCCAACCCUUGAACGGCCAAGGUUUAAUAAUAGGUGUCAUCUUUCGUGCUGGCACCCUUUGUAUUGGACCAUGCUUUUGGCAUGCUAAACAACUCUUUGUAUACUGAACGCAUAAUUCUCCCAUCUUUGGCCAAAAAUAUCCAUUCCUAAUAAUUAACCAUCUCAUCCUUUGGCCAGCUUGAUGAGCUCCACAUAUCCCUUCGUGCACUUCAGCCAUGAUCGUCCUGGCUUCUUGCAAACUUACACAUUUUAGCAAUAUACUAUCAGAGCGUUUCUUAAACAACUCUUCAUCUAUCAGUGCAUAGUUUAGCAAACACAACUUCAUUUUUCUACUGUCUCCUUUAUUAGAUUCUUUAAGGAACUCCUUAAUCUCUACCCUCCAAUCUAUUGUAUCUCCAUCUUGUAUGCAAUGAAUUUCAAUCGUUCUCGCCCUUCUUUGGAUCACGGGUAAUAUGGUUCCAUACUCACAAGUAGACUUUUAAUUUAAAACCUUUGAGUACCCUGAGGCCAUCUGGGCCAACUCAUUUGCCACGUCAUUAUAUAUCCUAUUGACGCAUUGAAGUUCUACUUGGUCAAAUUCUUCUAACAACUCUUGGGCGAUUUCAUAUUGACUCAUGAUGGAAUCACUUUGACAUUUAAAAUCACCAAUCAAUUGGUGAUUUACCAAUUGAGAAUCGCCUCUAAUGAUUACAUUCUUUACCCCCAUGUCUAUCAUUAGUUCUAGGCCCACGAUUAAGGCUUCAUAUUCGACCUAAUUGUUGGUGCACAUCCUAUCCAAAGUGAAUGCGAACUUGUAGCAAAUCCCUAAAGGAUUUAUCAAUGCUACUCCUACUCCUGCACCUUUAGAGGUUUUUGACCCAUCGAAAUACAACACCCAAGAUUUUAGUUCGAACGAAUUGAUUUCUAAUUCAAUUUCUUCAGGCAUGGAUGAUCGGCUAGAAAAUUAGCCAAAACCUGAUUUUUGACUGCCUUUUGGGGUAUGUAUUGUAUUUCAAAUUCUAAUAAAGUUAACAUCCAAAGGCCUACCCUUUGGUGUAAAAUAAAGCGAGAGAACAUAUACUUAAUCAAAUUUACUCUAGAAAUUAAAUAAACGGUUACGGGCCGUAAAUAAGCCCUUAAUUUUGUACAUGUGAAAUACAAUGCAAGACAUAAUUUUUCGAUAGCAGAAUAAUUACAUUCACAUUUUGUUAACCGUCUACUCAAGUAGUAAAUCAUCCUCUCUUCACCAAAUUGGUCUUCUUGCGCGACCAUUCCAGUUAUUGAUUCUUUUUCAACCGAUACAUACACUUUCAUUGGCCGUCCUUGGAUUGGUGACACCAACACUGGUGGACUUGAUAAAUAUGUCUUCAGGCUUUCAAAAGCCUUUUGAUGUUCUUCUUUCUCGACGAAUUCGUCCUGAUUUUUCAACUUUAAAAGUGGCGAAAAGACUUUAGUUUGCCCUCCACAGUUAGAAAUAAAGCGUCUUAAAAAGUUUACUUGGCCUAGAAACCUUUGCAAUUCUUUUUUGUUACUAGGUGGUUUGGCCUCUAAAAUGGCCUUCGCUUUAUUUUUAUAAAAUUCAAUCCCUCUUUUGUGUACCAGGAAACCAAGAAAGUUCCCUGCAUUAACAUCAAAUGUACAUUUCAAGGGAUUCAACUUUAGCUUAUAUUGCUUCAUUUGCUCAAAUGAACAUCUUAACUGUUCGAAAUGGUUAAUGGAUUUGACCACUAUAUCAUCUACAUACACUUCAACAAACUUGCCUAUCAUAUCAUGAAAAAUUAAGUUCAUUGCCCUUUGAUAAGUCGCUCCUGCAUUUUUCAGGUCGAAAGGCAUUACUACCCAUUCAAAACAUCCUAGAGACCCAGGGCAUCUAAAAGCAGUUUUGUAUAUGUCUUCCUCAGUUAUAUAAAUUUGAUUGUAUCCUGAAUACCCAUCCAUGAAAGAAUACAUGACGUGUCCGGCAGUUGAGUCUACUAAAGAAUAUACCGUGGGCAUUGGAUACUCAUCUUUGGGUGUGGCUAUGUUUAAAUUCCUAAAGUCUAUGCGCACCCAUAGUUUACCAUUCUUUUUUAGUACUGGCACGAUAUUGGAUAACCAUUCGACAUACCUGGCUGUUCUAAUAAAGCCUGCUUUUAAUAAUCGCUCUAUCUCUUUCUUAAUCUCAGGGAGUACAUUAGGAGCAAAACGUCUGGGAGGUUGCCUAUGAAGUUUAAAAUUAGGCUUAGUUGGAAAUCUAUGUUCCACCAAGUCUCUAUCUAAACCAAGCAUUUGUUCAUAUUCCCAAGCAAAACAAUCUUUAUACUCCUUUAACAAAGAGAUUAAUUUAUCACUAACCUCUUGAUCGAGCAUCUGGCUGAUGAAUGUUGGACGAUCUUUUCCUUCAUUGCUAAUAUUUACUUUAAUCAAAGGGUCUUGUGCUUGACGUAUCCAGGCUUGAUGAUCCGCAUUACUUCAUCGUCUAGCUCCCUUGUAAACACUUCUUCUUCUAAACAAUCCACCUUGUUGACUUCUCGGCCAAUACUUUGUUCCAAUUCAAAUACUGCUAAUUUGUCUUUCAACGCUUUCAGGGCUGCCUCUUCUUUCAUCUUGUCUUUGCAUUCUUUAUUGAAAGCCAUUAAUUUGGCUUUGAAGGCCUGAAUAUUGGCCAUUUGCUUUUGUUGCUUAGAACUCAUUCAAGACUCCUUGAUUAUUCUUUUGCCAAUUACUGGCUCUUCUAGGGCCACUAUAUUUGGCCUCAUCUGACUAAACAUUUUAGUGAGUGUGUCCACUGAAAAUGGUUCUUCACUGUGCGCGACAAUCUGAGUUUUUUCCCCAUCUUAGACUACCCUGACAGGUCCAUAGUUUCCUUUGUACAUGAACCUUUCCACUGAGUUUGCUUCUGCGACAAAAGGCCUAUGAUCGGCCUGCACCACCUCUGCUUCACCCCUUGUUAUUCCAAAAAACCAGGCAUUGAUGUAGCGAUGAGGGUAUACAGCAACUUCCGUGUAUCCAAUCUCUUCCUAGUAACACAUUGUAACUAGUAGGACCAUCUAUUACAAAGAAGACUAUGGUCCUAGUAGUUGUACCUAUAGUUAUGUCCAAUGGCAUAACUCCCUUAGUUGCUCCUCCAUUGAAACUUGUAAGGAUGACUUCUGUUGGAAUCAUAUCCCCUUCCGUCUUUGCAAAUUUCCUCAUCAUCCUAGAUGGAAUGGUGUUUAUAGUUGCUCCAUUAUCGACAAGCACUUUUGCCACAUGUAUGCCGUUAACUAGAGCUUUAACGUACAACGGCCUCAAGUGUUUAGUCAAUUUCAUGGCUGGCCGCUUAAAAAUAACCUUUUCGACAGCCUCUAUUUCUACUUCCUGCUUGUCCUCUAUCGAGUUAUCCUUUUGUGAUAAGUCAACGUGCAGCAUAUCGCACUGAGCCUCUGUCUCCUGAAUUUCCUUUUUACUGUUUUCUGAUGCUUCAUCUUCAGUUACCCAACCUGUGGGAGGAGGCAUUAUUCUUGAAGGUAAUCCAUACUUUUCAGAGCGAGGCACUCUCUUCUUCCUUUUAGGCAUCUCGUACAGCACGUAAAAAUCGAAAGAACUCCCAGAUGGUUCUCCCAAUAACUCUACUUCACGAACUCCCUCUUGAUGUAGUUGCUUCAACAGAGUAUUAUACGAUACUCCUCUCCUUCUUCUUUCUGCUUUCAGGUCAAUUUUCUCUUCAAUGUCUGUCAUACCAUCAUCUUCCUCACCAUUGUAGGCCUCUCUAGAAAUCUAGCCUUCUUCAUAUUCCAGCACGCAUGCUUCUCCUUCGUUAUCCUCUCUUUCUUUUUCUUCUUUCUCUUUAUUCUUGAACUCAUUGGCUAGUAAAUAGUUAUUAGCCACGACAGGAGGUAACGUACCGAACUGAAUAGUAAGGGGUUGAUCUGGAUCUUCUCCAUCCCUUCUGUCUCGCUCAAACUUCAAUCUCCCAGAAGAGGUUUUCGGCAACUCUUUCAUUGAUUCAUCUGUACCAAUCUCUUUACUAUCUUUGAGAACAUUUUGAUUGGCUACCUCAAGUAGUUUACGAGCCUUAAGACGUGGCACUCCCUGUUGUUACCUCAUCAUUCGUCCAUAAUUUCGUUGGAAACACCUUUGUUGGGUUCUAGUCAUCUCGUUGAAGGGUAUCGCCUUUCCUGCAUUAUACUGGAACGAAUGCCAUAUAUUUGGUUGGCGAGGUUGCGGCCUGAAUGUUCUCCCAUUAUUUACUGGCCUGAACUGCCUCUCAAAAUGCUGUCCCUUAUAGAACGAUGUACCUUGCCCUCUACCAGGCUGAGCGUUUGGAAAGAAAGUAGGGCGAUGGGGAUGCUACCAUAUCCCUGGUUUCUCCGUAUUCCCACUCACUUCUCUUUUACAUCUUGCACACAAGACGUCUUCAUCCUUUUUUUGCUCCUUCCCUUUAAUACGCUCAAAGACACUGGGAUGUGAUCCAGGGUCUUCUUCUCCAUCAUCUAUAACCAACUUGAAUUUUGGCAACUUGUUUUUUAAACCAGACAUCACCAUAUUCACUCCAAGUGGCUGUGGAAAAGGAUUUUCAUCCACUGCCAUCUUCUUCUUAUCAUCGAACGUAAUUCGUCCUGAUUCAAUGGCAUACUGUAACACACGGCGAAAAAUCAAGCAAUUGUUAGUCAAAUGUGACCAUGUAUUAUGCCACUUACAAUAUUUUUUACCCUUAAUUUGUUCAGGGUUUGGCAAUUUAUGCUUAUCGCUCAGCUUUAUCUGCUUAUCCUUAUAUAAUUUAUCAAAUAUAAGGUCAGCUUUGGUUACAUCAAACGAGAACGUUCUAGCUUUUAUGUUUUCAUCUUUCAUAGGCUCAUCCUUGCCUGAUGGUCUCGGCUUAGCCAUUAUAGGAUAAGUAUACGUGUCUCCUUUGACUAAUUCGGCCAAACACAUUUUGGUCUGAUCAUAUGACUCGUUAUUGAUGGUAUGAACAUCAAAAUUUGGGUCUCUAUAAUAAGUCCCCUUACUAGAAUUUUUUAUCUGCUCUUCUUCUCUUAUCAAUCGUUCAUACCUAAUCACAUUCGUGCUCAAUUGGAAAAGGUCAGGAAAUUCCUUGUCUUGGAAUUUCUUUUUCAAAUCAAAGCUCAAACAACCUUGAGCGAUUUUGACAAACUCUUUUUCGGGCAAAGGUACAAAAUAUUUACUUCUUGCUGUCUUGAACCUUUGGAGGAAACCUUCUGCCCAUUCGUUUGGCAUUUGACGUAGAUUCGCCAAAUCGGUCAACGUAACUUCAGACUCAGUCUUAUAAAAUUGAGCGUGGAAUAAUUGUUCCAAUUGUUGCAAUGUUUGAACAGAGUUCGCUGGCAAAUUGAUGAACCAGGAGAAAGCUACUCCUAUUAAUGAACUAGGAAAAAGCCUCAUUUUAUGAUAAUCAGUUACGUCACCACUUUGCAGUGUGAAUUGUCCUAUGUGUUCUAGAGUAGACACCUCCCCUAAACCGGUAAACAGUGAGAAUUCUGGCACUUUAUACCCUAUAGGCCAUGGAUAUGCUUGAUCUACCCAAUCAGGAUAUGGCUUUGUGUAAGUCGGCCUAAUGACAGGACGUACCCCAAAAGCUAUCUAAUCCUGUACGAUUUCCAUAAUUUGAUUCCUCAACAUGACGUUGGGGUCAUAUGGAAUUUCUACAGGUUGGUUCACCGGUUGAUUUGUUUGAGGCCUGAUGUUUGGUCCUUGAUUGGCAACAAAGUUACCAUGAUUUGGGUCAUUGUUACCAUUAGCCUGAACAUUUAUUCCCUCGUUAACACGUGGGGUAUUCUGCCCAUUAUUUAGGACAUUAUCUCUUACAUUUGGAUUAUCCCCCAAGUUAGGCGUACCACUACCAUUAUUCUGAUUUGACAUUACACCAUCCCCUUGGUUUGAAGUAGAGGGAUCGAAAGGUGGUUCUAUCCCUUGACUUGGAUUUAGGACUGGGGGAUUAUGUCCCACAAUUGUUUUAGUUUGAAAGUGGUUUGCAAGAGGCAUAACUGGUUGACAAAUUUGGCCUACUAACUUAUUCAUUAUUUCGUUCAAAGUAUUCAGUUGUUUGGCCAUGUUGUCAUAAUGUGCAUUCCCAUUCUGGGUAAAUCUUUCCAUAAUAUGAAUAUUUCAAAGAUUUACCUGUUCAACGACAUCUUGUGUGAGUUCUCCAAGUAGUGCACGCACAGUUCGAGGACUCAACUCUGUCAUUGAUUUGUAACGACUGUUACUGCUUCUGUCCAUCUGUUCGUGGAGAGCUAUGCUGCUCCUUAUAUCGCUUGAUCACAGACUAGACUCCUCCCUGACUUGCUGCUUCCUUAUCGGAUCUCUGAGGCAUAUUAUUUCACCUUUUGUAUCUUCAACACCAAACACCACGUGUCCCACUAGGCGUGCCAAAUUGUUUCGCGCAGGUUAGUCGCUAACAAUUAAAAAGGGAUCAGACGAUUGUGUAAUGGACAAACCUCUUGAGACAAAGUCCCAAAAAGGGGUGUUUUUAUUGGCGAUGACUUUACAAUUGGAAAAAUAAAACAGAAUGCCUCCAAGGGGCGCAAACACACGAGUUACUGAAAAGAAGUGUUUUAAAUCUAAACUAAGAAAUUGAAAGUUACAUAUUCUCUGUUUGAGAGUAUUUGAUUCGGGGUCCUUUGCUCUAUGUCUUUUCUUCCUUUUAUACUCCCUGGAUGAUCUCUUCGUAAUCAACUGCUUAAAAACUCUUUGAUCGCUAUAUAACUGCCCACUUUCUUCAUAGUAGCCAACUUGUCAUGGAACUGCAUUCUCUAACUGCUGCCAUUACUUUUUAUCGUUCAACCGUCUUCAAUUGAAUUCCUUGAAUCGUGGAACGUGAUAGGGCUACUCAAUAACUGCUUCAUUAACCGCACUUUUAGGUAACCAUAACAUCUUAUGUUUGCUAAGAUCCUGGGCGACUCAGAGGUUUGGGCGAGAACAGGGUCACAACUCUGGGCGACUGUAUGGUAAUCAAUUCGCUCAAAUCUUGGGCGACUUGCAAGCUUGGACGAUGGUAUUACCACGCUCAUGAGCUUCCCUAUUUGGGCCUUUAUCCUGAAUAUCCUGAUUGGGCCUUUUUUGGGCUAUCUGAUUUGGGGAUCUUCCAAUUGGUCUUCAUUCCUUAGGCUACUCGAUUUGGGUUGAACUUUUUGUGUGUCAACAAUACGUAUUGUUAAUUAUUAAAUAAUUUUUAAACUAAUCAAACAUUGAAAUUAAUAUUAAAAAUAAGAAAAUACUUUUUUACACCUAGGAGAAGCUGAUUCCAGUUUGUUUGAUAAGUGCUAUUAGGACUUUAUAUAGGUUUAGGCAGUUAGAUUCAAGAAAAAACAGAGCUAAUUCUUCUAGUGCUAAAGCAGAAGAGCAUGCAAAACAACAAGAGAGACACGGAGAUGGUGAAGGCCUAUGUCGUCUGCUAAUUGCUAUAAUUUGAUUAAAAUCAGAUUCUGCAAAUAUUACAAGGAAUGAAGCUACACAUAUGGAAUUUCUCUCCUAGAAUUAUUACAGAAAAAAUUAUGUACACUUGGAAUAAUUCUAUUACUAGUAAUUUUGAAACGACGACAGGAGACUUCAUGAAAGCCAGUAAAUGCAUCAUCUUGACUUUAGUGUUUCUCUUUAGCUUGUUAUGGAUUUUAAAAUAUUCCAUGGAUGGAUUUAAUGAUGUAUUUUGUAAGGUUGAUAUGUCAAAUAUUAUGUAGACUUUGGGAUUAAGAAAAAAGAGUAAAAUCUUAUUCAUUAUAGCGUUCAAUCGUAUCUAGUUCUAUGUACCAAAUGUAAACCAAAAAUUAAAUAAGGUACAUUUAUGCUUCAACACGUGAUUUGAAUUUUAAGCAAGCAUUCAUUCAUGCGCGGUAGAUGUUAUAGAAACAAACAGGUAGAAAAAAGGAUCAGUUUCCAUGUGUUAUAGAAUAGUUGGACUGAAGCAAAUAAGCUAUAGACUAGACAGUAGAUAUAGGAUGUCACAAAUGUAAUAACUUGACAAAUAUAAUUAACUGGUCAAACUUGCCGAGGUCGACACAUUGGAUUAGAAGUUUCAACAUCACAAAAAGUUCGUAUUAAAAUUGAUUUUUUUUUUUGAAAUAUGUGAUUAAAAAGAAAUUAAAAAAUUAGGUUUACAUGCACCAUUAGAAAUAGAAAAAAAAAAAAACAAUUUAAAAAAAUCUGUACCAAACGUGUAAUAAGUCACAAAAAGAAGUGUAAUGCCAUCACUUUACCCAAAAAAAUAUAGUUCAUGAGACAAAUGCAAUUCAUCGUAUAUCACCNAAGUUGGACUGAUAGGUGCUAUUAGGACUGUAAGUAGUUGUAUUUGGGCAGGAAUAAUAAAUAAGAUUCACGAGGCUAACCCUUCUCGUGCUAAAGAAAAAGAGGAAGCAAAACAACAAGAAAUACGCGGAGAUGCUCAAGGCCGACAUGAUCUGCUACUGCUAUAUUUUGAUCUCAAAAGCCUUCUUUAUCCAAAACAUUCCUCACUUUGUCCGGCUGCAUAUUAUGAUUAAUAGCGAAAUGAGAUAGUAAAC
rnacentral:lncRNA from 1 species